GUUCCUUCUUUUAAACACAACUUGAUUUCUGUCCACAAGUUAGUGAAGCAGUUGCAUUGUAUAGUUAUGUUCACUGAACAUUCCUGCUUACUACACAUAAUACAGGACCCUUCUCUGAGGAGGCCUCUGGAUCUUGGUAGAGAAGCUGCUGGAACUGGCUUGGGUUCCUCCUUUCCCUUCUCCCUCUGUUAGUUGUUACUCUACUUCUGUUUGUACUGUAUCUGCUUCUUGUAAUGAUAGCAAGGUUGUUACAUUGCCUUCUGUGUCUGUUUCUUGUAAUGAUGACAUUUUGUCUGAUAAUAAGGCUGUUCCAUUACCUUCACAUGUAAAUAGUUCCAUCUGUAAUAAUGAUUUUAUAUCUGACAUGAAUUACAUUUGGCACUUAAGACUUGCUCAUACUCCUUUUGCAAAUAUGAAAUGUAUUUCUGGUCUGUCUUUUCCAUUUGCUUCCAGAUCUUACAUCUGACAUGAAUUACAUUUUGCACUUAAGACUUGCUCAUACUCCUUUGCAAAUAUGAAAUGUAUUUCUGGUCUGUCUUUUCCAUUUGCUUCCACACAACCUUUUCCAUGUUUAGUCUGUCCUAUGGCCAGACAGACUAGGCUUCCAUUUCCUGAU
rnacentral:lncRNA from 1 species